GAAAAAUAGGGUUUCAGUGGCGGCAGCCUCCACUCACGCCGCCGUCGCCUCCGAGCCCCACUGCCCGAUCCAGACAACCACCCCGCCCAGAUCCAGAUCCACCUGUACUGGAUCUCACAGCCUCCGCUUCUGCUUUCCUUUAUGUCGUCGACCGCGAUGUCUUGGGACGGGUACGGCGGGCAGAUCUACCCUGGAGGCGGUGUUCCAGCAGCCUGAGACGACCCCCCUUGCAGGCGCCGACGGGGGAGAUGGAGCUGCCGAGCAACGCUGGCGACGGCGAACUCCUGCCCAUGGAGGAGCACAAGGAGCGCGCGCUGCGGCACCUACUCCGCCGAUCCAAGCGCCCGCUGGAGGAGUUCGUGGCCGCCGUGGCAGACGUCGCGGAGCAGCUGGGCACACGUCACACCGGGUGGCAACUGGCAGGGCAAUGCCCGAUCAGGUCUCCGUCGUCGAUUCGUCUGAACAGCUAUCCUCAUCAUAUUUUAAUGUCUCGAGCAUAAUACGGAGUACAUAUCUGUAUUUACGUCAGCGUUAUUGCAACGCUCUCUCUCCGUGGUCUCUUCUACAUACUAUAAUAGUAGUACAUUAGUACUAACAAUGUGGUUGGCCAUGGCAUGCUUGCUUCGAGAUCAACAUGAACAAUGGAAGCACAAGUACGGGAAUCCAUGUAGAAGCGUGAAGAUUUUCCGGUGCCAAUUGCCACGGAAUAAUGCCUUCUACUCAGCUCAACCUCCAAAGCAUGAUGGCUCUGACAAACCACUCUGUCCAGGAGCUCCUGUAUGCCACUGGUGUGGUACCUGGAAAGGUGAUAAAAUAUGUAGUAGCUGCAAGAAAGCAAGGUACUGUUAUGAGAAACAUCAGGCACUGCAUUGGCGUACUGGUCAUAAAAAUGAUUGCCUCCAGAUAAUAAGUUCUGUUGCUUCAAAUUCAGUUCUGCCAGCUGUAGGAAUAGGGAUUUGUUUGGCUUCCAAAUGGUUUGUUGGUCCUAAAAUAGUCAGAAUCACAUGACAUCUGUGCUAUAGAUAUGGACCUCGGUGGUUUUCUCCACAUUAGGAAAGCUGGAAGAGCCUUUUGAACUCAGUUUUUUUGCUAACAGUGGUGUUAUGGUGAAACAGAGUUUUGUGUGUAUGUACCAACAGAUAAAAUGUAAACACGACAUUAUCAUAGUUGAGUACAGGAAUAAUUAUCUCGU